rnacentral:rRNA from 1 species
UUAUGGCUCAGGACGAACGCUGGCGGCGUGCCUAAUACAUGCAAGUCGAACGGUCUUUCUAUGGAAGCUUGCUUCCACUGAGAAGAUAGUGGCGAACGGGUGAGUAACACGUGGGUAACCUGCCCAUAAGAGGGGGAUAACAUCCGGAAACGGGUGCUAAUACCGCAUAGUUUUCUUGAUCGCAUGAUCGGGAAAGGAAAGACGGCCUUUGUGCUGUCGCUUAUGGAUGGACCCGCGGCGUAUUAGUUAGUUGGUGAGGUAACGGCUCACCAAGACGAUGAUACGUAGCCGACCUGAGAGGGUGAUCGGCCACAUUGGGACUGAGACACGGCCCAAACUCCUACGGGAGGCAGCAGUAGGGAAUCUUCCGCAAUGGACGAAAGUCUGACGGAGCAACGCCGCGUGAGUGAAGAAAGGUUUUCGGAUCGUAAAACUCUGUUGUCAGAGAAGAACAAGUUGGAGAGUAACUGCUCCAGCCUUGACGGUAUCUGACCAGAAAGCCACGGCUAACUACGUGCCAGCCGCUGC